rnacentral:rRNA from 1 species
GUUCGGAAUUACUGGGCGUAAAGCGCGCGUAGGCGGCUUUGCAAGUUAGAGGUGAAAGCCCGGAGCUCAACUCCGGAACUGCCUUUAAGACUGCAUCGCUUGAAUCCAGGAGAGGUGAGUGGAAUUCCGAGUGUAGAGGUGAAAUUCGUAGAUAUUCGGAAGAACACCAGUGGCGAAGGCGGCUCACUGGACUGGUAUUGACGCUGAGGUGCGAAAGCGUGGGGAGCAAACAGG